CGUUCCCGGGCCUUGUACACACCGCCCGUCACGCUAUGGAAGCCGCCAACACCUAAAGUCGCCGUGCUAACCGCAAGGGGGCAGGCGCCUAGGGUGGGGGGGUAACUGGAGCG
rnacentral:rRNA from 1 species